CCCUGACCCAGAAGCAUCUUUUAAUGCGGUCCUCCCUGUUUUCCAUCUGUGUUGCAUGUUAUUCAUUGGGGUCCUCGUUUCCCUCUGAGAGAAGAAGGUGUCAGUGUUGAACCCGGCGCGUAUCCCCGUGUGGUACGUAAUGCUGCUCCCAGACAGACAGCCCUACAUCCUCAAUGGAGAUGACGCUAGUGCUUGAAGGCGAUGUUUUUCCCGCGGACUGCGUGGCUGGUGAGAUGGUAACGCCGAGGCGGGGAGCAGCUUCACAGCUCACUGCCCUCACCCGAGCAACCGCCUGAGAGCGACGUGCCAAAGCCCGGCGGUAGCCCGGUGCCUGCUGCAUCGCUGCAAACGGUGGGAGCAGCGCGCCCACCCGCUGCGGGGGCUCCUCGGGGACCCACCGCCUGCCAGCUUCCCUCUGCCAUCCUCUGCGGCGGCCUGUCCCCACGUACACGUGUCUGGGAAAGUGCCAAGAUCACAAUCAAAAGGGAGUCACCAAUAAGGAUUUGGUGUACAGCUAAGCAAACUACCUGUGGAGAAAGCUCUGAACAAAACAGGGAAUUGUGUACCAUGUAACCAGACUGCUAUAAACCUUCAGCUGCAGACCACUGACAGGAGUCUAUGGACCACCACUUGGGUGAACCUCUGCUUUAAACCGUUAAAUGAUUCAACAUUUGUUCCCUCUGAUGACACCACGAAUCUGAGAAUGAAGAACUUCUUAGAGCUGAUUGGAAAUGGCAUUGCGGAGCUGAGACUUAACUGGAGGAAAUAUAUCUCCUGAAGAAGAAAAUAUAAUGCACUGUAAGGAUCUGACUUCUGGUGAAAAAUUCAAGCCUAGAGAAAACUUGUCUGCUUUGUUAGGAAGAAUGGGUUGGACAAUUUUCUUCAAUUCCAGAGGAUAUCUGAAUGCCAUGCUGAGCUUAAUCUCUGCAGCAUGCUAUGUGCUUCUCAUGUCUUCCUGAUGCACUGCAUGGUUAUCCUGAAGGGGAGGAUAAAGAAACUGGCCACCAAGAUGGUAAUCACUAGUGGAAAUGAAGAAGAUAAAGGCAGUCAAGAAAAGGAAAGCAAAGAAGAAACCAUCUUGGCAAUGCUUGGAAUUAUUGGGACAAUUCUGAACCUCAUUGUGAUCAUUUUUGUGUAUAUUUACACAACGCUGUAAACUAGAAGGCAUGCAAAUAGACCAGAUAAAACGGCCAUUAAGACUGACAACAAACAUUGCUGACUAUUGACAAGUUGUUUAAUCAGAAUUGACUCUGUAUUAUAUUAACACAUCGUAUAAGCGCUGCCUGCAGGCAGCGAAGGCUGAAGCACAAUUAAUUUAACAAGACUUUUCCACACAGUAACAAGCUCAACUCUUCUGUCUUGCCCUCUUCCUUUUGGUUUGGUUUUCAGUUUGGAGGAAAAUGACUGCAAUUAUGUAAGUUGUAGCUUUGAGGAAAUCCACCAGGGAUAUGUUGUUUUAACACGAUAAAAAAAAAAAACAAUAAAGAGAGAAACUAUACACUAUAUACAAUUAGAAAUGUAUACCGUAUACCCACAGAGAUUGAACUCAAAGGUAGCUUCAUAGCACAGAUCACGUGUCUGUUAUGUCAAAUGACUUUUUUCUCUUGGUUUUUGCUUUUACUUACAUUGACUCUGAAAGCUUUUUAUUUAGAAUGAACAUAUGGUGCAAUCAUGAAAAAACCAAUUCCAUUGAGCAAGGUCUGCCUAAACCUGAUAAAAUGUUGGGAGAAAUACAUUGUAUGGUUAUUUUUCCUUUCUUAUUUGCCUAACAUCUGUGUCUGUUCAUAUCAAUGUUUAUAAAUAUCUAUUUUUAAUAAAUGUGCUAUAUUUUUAGCAUGAACCAAAUAUUUGGAGACACUUGUAUUCAUGCAGCUAAGUUUUGGUUGAAGUGCCCUUUUUGACAAUGGAUGUUAUUUUUCUCAGCAAUUAUACAGCAGUCUUGUUUGCAGCCCUCUCACUGUGGUUUGAAGCAAGCUCACAUCAUGCUCAUAUGCAUGACUUGAAGUUGGAAUGUCAGCUGAAAAGCAUUGCUGCUUAAUACGGGAAAUAGCAAAACAUUGUAAGGUGACCUUUGGUGACUGGUUGCAGAAAGAAGGCUUUAUUUAUAGUCAAAAAAAAAAAAAAAAAGG